rnacentral:rRNA from 1 species
UACGUAGGGGGCAAGCGUUGUCCGGAAUCAUUGGGCGUAAAGCGCGUGUAGGCGGCCUUGUAAGUCCGUUCUGAAAGCCCGGGGCUCAACCCCGGGAGGCGGAUGGAUACUGCAAGGCUCGAGUCCGGAAGAGGCAAGUGGAAUUCCCGGUGUAGCGGUGAAAUGCGCAGAUAUCGGGAGGAACACCAAUGGCGAAGGCAGCUUGCUGGGACGGUACUGACGCUGACAGCGCGAAAGCCAGGGGAGCAAACGGG